UACGUAGGGUCCGAGCGUUAAUCGGAAUUACUGGGCGUAAAGCGUGCGCAGGCGGUUUUGUAAGCCAGAUGUGAAAGCCCCGGGCUCAACCUGGGAACUGCAUUUGGGACUGCAAGGCUGGAGUACGGCAGAGGGAGGUGGAAUUCCACGUGUAGCAGUGAAAUGCGUAGAUAUCUGGAGGAAUACCGGUGGCGAAGGCGGCAUCCUGGACCGGCAUUGACGCUGAACAGCGAAAGCUAGGGGAGCAAACGGG
rnacentral:rRNA from 1 species